GGGGCUGUAGCUCAGUGGCAGAGCACCUGCCUUGCAUGUGUGAGGCACUGUGUUCAAUUCUCAGCACCA
rnacentral:tRNA from 1 species